AUCUAGCUGACGAGUCUCAAAUAGGACGAAAUGUGCGUUCUGGAU
rnacentral:hammerhead_ribozyme from 1 species